AGCGAACGCUGGCGGCAGGCUUAACACAUGCAAGUCGAACGGGCAUCUUCGGAUGUCAGUGGCAGACGGGUGAGUAACACGUGGGAACGUACCCUUCGGUUCGGAAUAACUCAGGGAAACUUGAGCUAAUACCGGAUACGCCCUUUUGGGGAAAGGUUUACUGCCGAAGGAUCGGCCCGCGUCUGAUUAGCUUGUUGGUGGGGUAACGGCCUACCAAGGCGACGAUCAGUAGCUGGUCUGAGAGGAUGAUCAGCCACACUGGGACUGAGACACGGCCCAGACCCCUAGGGGGGGCAGCAGUGGGGAAAAUUGGACAAGGGGCGAAAGCCGGAUCCAGCCAUGCCGGGGGAGUGAUGAAGGCUUUAGGGUUGUAAAGCUUUUUUGUCCGGGACGAUAAGGACGGUACCGGAAAAAAAAGCCCCGGCUAACUUCGU
rnacentral:rRNA from 1 species